ACUUUUACAGGUGCUUAAUAUAUUUAAGAGAAUAGGGAAACAGGUGUAAAUCCUGUGCGGGACCGCCGCCGUAACAGCAAGUCGCAUUAUUCACUUUGGUUACACAAGGGAAGGAUAAUAAAGGACGCUUGAGCUGUAAGCCGGAAGACCUGCCUGUAAUA
rnacentral:ncRNA from 1 species